rnacentral:rRNA from 1 species
UACGUAGGGGGCAAGCGUUGCUCGGAAUCACUGGGCGUAAAGCGCACGUAGGCGGAUUGUUAAGUCAGGGGUGAAAUCCUGGAGCUCAACUCCAGAACUGCCUUUGAUACUGGCGAUCUUGAGUCCGGGAGAGGUGAGUGGAACUGCGAGUGUAGAGGUGAAAUUCGUAGAUAUUCGCAAGAACACCAGUGGCGAAGGCGGCUCACUGGCCCGGUACUGACGCUGAGGUGCGAAAGCGUGGGGAGCAAACAGG